rnacentral:rRNA from 1 species
UGGGGAAUCUUGCGCAAUGGGCGAAAGCCUGACGCAGCGACGCCGCGUGUGGGAUGAAGGUCUUCGGAUUGUAAACCACUGUCGGGAGGGACGAAGCUCUGACGGUACCUCCAAAGGAAGCACCGGCUAACUCUGUGCCAGCAGCCGCGGUAAUACAGAGGGUGCGAGCGUUGUCCGGAAUCACUGGGCGUAAAGGGCGCGUAGGCGGCCUGGUAAGUAGGGGGUGAAAUCUCAUGGCUCAACUGUGAGGCUGCCUUCUAGACUGCUGGGCUUGAGCACGGUAGAGGCUGGUGGAAUUCCCGGUGUAGCGGUGGAAUGCGUAGAGAUCGGGAGGAACAUCGGUGGCGAAGGCGGCCAGCUGGGCCGUUGCUGACGCUGAGGCGCGAAAGCGUGGGGAGCAAACAGGAUUAGAUACCCUGGUAGUCCCUGAGCGGGCUGGCAAGGCGCAU